GGCAGAUUUUCGGAUGUCCAAUUUUCAAUUUCGGACACAUUUGCCCCUUAAUUGCAAAUAGUGCAAACCUUACCAGCGGGGCAAUUUGGUCUUUUCGGCGUAGACAGAAUGGGUGAACGUUAUUAGGCCACAUUGACCCCACUCCCUCUUCCUUUCCUUCGUCUACUUCAGAUGCAAACAGAUAUAUAUAUAUAUAUAUAUAUAGAGAGAGAGAGAGAGAGAGAGAGAGAGAGGAUUUGAGAUUCCGCUUGCCGUUAGGUAACCAUCGCGACUGAGAAUCUCACUGGCACAGCUCACCAAUGCCGUCUUCAGAAAACUGAGAGCCAAGUCCGAGAACAUGAUCUGGUUGUGCGGCUUGCGUGGAUUUUGCUUCGUGUUUGUGGCUUUGGCAUAAAUUUUGGUUGGGAUUGUUUUGACUGCGCUGGAUAAGAUUAGGUUCCUGUCACUCACAGAGAAGGAUUUUUUGGGUGAAGGUGAUGAUGCUAAGCUUGAAAUUCAGAUUGAAUUAGACAAAGCAAAUAAGAUUCUAUCCAUUUGUGAUAGAGGUAUAGGUAAGACAAAGGAGGAUUUGAUCAAGAACUUGGGUACCAUAGCUAAGUCUGGAACUUCAAGUAUCAUUUUUCUUGUUAAUGCUACAUUAUUAGAUGACCUAGGUAAUUUAGUUGGUCAAUUUGGGUUCAGAGAUUAGGUGAAGGUUUCUUAAACUUCAAUUUCAUGGGGCACCCAUUGCUUCGCCUGUAAGUACGUGAUUGGAAUUACUUACCACAGAAAAAAGUAUGAAGGGAUUAGAGUAGUGAUUUGGUGAGAAAUGUAGGAAAAUGAUUUUCGUUGAUUCAGUCCUGCCCUUCCUCUACAUGUCUCACUAGAUAUGUACAUAAUUACAACUUAUAAUACUUCUUUUCCAUAAAAGUUGUGAUAUAGUAUUGAACUGGAGAUGGGUGCUGAUGAAAAAGGGGCAUAUUAAUGCAAGAAGUAUUCUUUUUCCAUUUUCAGUAGUGAGUAAAAUGCACAUAUCUGAUUUUUUUUCCUUUGUCAAGAAUUUAAUUUUGCCUUCUAUUUUGGUUUUUUCGACUAAAGGAGAGAGAGAGCAUGAGGUGUUCGUGCUCGGCGGGUUGUCUCGAUUUGGUUAUGGUUUGUGAGGAAUUUGUGGAGAACAUGGAUAGAUUUUUUGGUAUGAUGGACGGGGUGUCGAAUGGGGUUUUUUGAGGGAGGAGAAGUGGGUUGGGGCAGGAAUGGAUCGAAUUGGACUGGUUGAAGGAGAAAGGGUACUAUGGGAUUGAAGAGUUCGUGGCGAACUGGUUGGAGGUGGUGUUGAGUUUAUCAUGGUUGAAUUGUUGUAGUAAUGGCAAGAAGAAGGGUGUGAGAUUGAAAGAAAAGGCAAGCGCUGCAGGUGUGGCGGCGAAUGCGUAUUGGAGGAAGAAGGGAUGCGUGGACUGGUGGGAGAAGUUGGAUGCUUCAGCUAGGAAGAACGUCUUUCGGGUCAUCUUGGGAAAAUCAGCUAAUCUCUGGACUUUUUUGGGUACUUUCUUUUUUUGCUUGCUUUUGUUCGACGCAUUGAAUCUUACUGAUUCUCACAUCCUAGGACUGCUGCGUUAACCAAAGUUUUUGAAUGAGAACACUAGAGUAGUGGGUUAUGCUAGCAAAGAUUGUAGAAAGGAAAUAGUUUCCAAAUUCCAAGUAACAGAUAUCUAUCAAAAUAAAAAUGUUUUAGAAGUUGUAAUUCACCAUGAAGAAGAUCCUUAAGGUCCUGUGUAUAUGAAUUUAUGGAUUGAUUGGUGGCG